rfam:Bacteroides capillosus ATCC 29799 B_capillosus-2.0.1_Cont21.1, whole genome shotgun sequence.
CAAUUCAAUAUUCUCCGAGCCCCUGCGCCUACGGCUUUGCUAUGGCGCCCGGGCCGUGGACGCCUCCACGGUGUCCUUUCAGGGUCUGUGCUGGAAACGGACAGGCCUUCCGUGUUUGAGAAGGAGAGGUUUUUUCAGGCUG